GCCUCCCAAAGUGCUGGGAUUACAGACGUGAGUCACUGUGCCUGGCCUGGAUGGAACAUUCUGCUCUUUCUCCAUCUGCUGCCUACCCAUGAUGUCUUGGGACUCCUAGAACCCUAAAGGAAGCCCCUGGACACGCAGGAAGGUGAUCCAGAAUUACUCCCGAACUCUACCAGCUGAAAUCCUCCUCAACUCACAUCAGACAAGACGGCCCUGCCACUUACCUGUCAGAUCACUUUGGGCAGUUUACAGGAGAGAAGAUGCAGCCUGGGAGAGAUGCAGCAGGUGUCUGAGGCCACACAGCAAGUCACCCAGGGCCAGGAUCUGAAGCUGGGUCUCUCCAGCUCCACUGCCUGGGCACUUUCUCCUCCACAGCGACCUUCAGGUCAUCAUGAGGAGCCUUUCGGACUAAAGCUAGAGAGCUGGGAUUCCAACAGUUCAGCAACCCAUGACUUCUCCAUGGCAGCUGCUGCCUGACCACCUAGUGCCUUUCCACUAAGAUUGUUCCUUCCCUCUCCUGAAGAUUAUCCUCCUGCCCCUCUCUCCCAAACAUCUGCGGUGUGCACCUGCUGCCCAAAGUUGAACUUUUUUUUGUUAGAGACAGGGCCUCACUGUGUCAUCCAGGCUGGAGUGCAGUGGCGUGAUCAUAGCUCACUGCAGCCUCCAACUCCUGGGCUCAAGUGACCCUCUCACCUCAGCUUCCUGAGUAGCUGGGACUACAGGCAUGCACCACCACGCCUGGCUAAUUUUUAAAUUUUUUGCAGAGACAGGGUCUAGCUAUGUUGCCCACCCUGGUCUUGAACUCCUGGGCUCAAGCAAUCUGUCUGCCUUGGUCUCCCAGCUCGCUGGGAUUACAGGCAUGAAUCACCAUGCCCGGUCCUCCAAAGUUGAACUUUUGAGACUCAGUUUCCUUCUUGGUAAAUUCAGGCUCCUAGGUGCUACCUCCUCAGAGACAUCCUCCUUGACCACAUCACAUGACCUCUCGCAGAGGCCAGAUUCUUUAAUGUAUUCAUUUGUCUAUUAUCAUGUUUCCCCAGUAGAAGUUGCACAAACGGCA
rnacentral:lncRNA from 1 species